GUCACAAGCUAUUACAUUAAACAUUGUAAGAGAUUUUCAAUACUUUCUUGAUAGUCUGCCAAAGCAUUUGAAAGGAACGAAAAUUAUAAAGGAAGAAGAAGAAAAAAAUGUUGCACGAAAAAUCAAUGCCUCUAUCGAAGAGAAAUUUCCCCGGCGAUGACACGCUCAAACGUUUUCAAAAUUACUCUUGUAGAAUUUCGUCUUGUCAAGUUAGUUUUUCAAUAGGUGGUAGUGGGAUACGCAAAAUUUCGGAGAAGCCGUGGCAAUACAAGUUCAUGGCACGGAAAUUCUACUUUAUACCCUUGUGAGCUCUUGGAAAAUUUGGACGAUCGGACACUUGGAUUAAUUGCAAGAAAAUCCAACUUAAUGAAAAUUACGUAAAAAUACAAAGCAUCCAAGAAGUGCUAGAUUCGUUCUGGUGAAGAUACCAUCGAAGGCAGUAGGCGUCAAAUUUGUU